GACGAACGCUGGCGGCGUGCUUAACACAUGCAAGUCGAACGGAAAGGCCCCUUGGGGGUUCUCGAGUUGCGAACGGGUGAGUAACACGUUAGUAACCUUCCCUUGACUUCGGGGUAACUUCAGGAAACUUGGGCUAAUACCGGAUAGGAAUCCUUGCUGCCUGGUGGGGGUUGGAAAGCUUCGGCGGUUUUGGAUGGACUCGCGGCUUAUCAGCUUGUUGGUGGGGUAGUGGCUUACCAAGGCUUUGACGGGUAGCCGGCCUGAGAGGGCGACCGGCCACAUUGGGACUGAGAUACGGCCCAGACUCCUACGGGAGGCAGCAGUGGGGAAUAUUGCACAAUGGGCGGAAGCCUGAUGCAGCAACGCCGCGUGCGGGAUGACGGCCUUCGGGUUGUAAACCGCUUUCAGCAGGGGCGAAGCUUGUGGUGACGGUACCUGCAGAAGAAGCACCGGCUAACUACGUG
rnacentral:rRNA from 1 species